rnacentral:rRNA from 1 species
UACGUAGGGCGCAAGCGUUGUCCGGAAUUAUUGGGCGUAAAGAGCUCGUAGGCGGUUUGUCGCGUCUGCUGUGAAAACCUGAGGCUCAACCUCGGGCUUGCAGUGGGUACGGGCAGACUAGAGUGCGGUAGGGGUGACUGGAAUUCCUGGUGUAGCGGUGGAAUGCGCAGAUAUCAGGAGGAACACCGAUGGCGAAGGCAGGUCACUGGGCCGCAACUGACGCUGAGAGACGAAAGCUAGGGGAGCGAAUGGG